UUUGCAUACAGGAAGAUUCAUUGUUUCUACCUUUGUCUGGUUAUUCAACUGAAACAUUUUUUUGCCUUUCAAGAACCAGGAAUUCAAGCUGUGGACACUAGAGAGCACUCGGGUGACAUGUCCAUUCACAUUCUGGGGGUACGGUCACCUUAACUUUACGCAUGAUAAACAUCUUAGUUAAAAGUACAGCUUGAUGUCACCAUCCCCCACAGUAGGUCCAAAGUCUUUAUGAUAAGCCUUUCAUAAAGAUACACAGGUUGUCAGAAUACCUGUUUGCAGAUGAAUUGCCACAACACAUGCUAUUGCAAUGCAGAUUGUUAAAAUUCAUGCAUGCUACCCUUGUUGUUCUUUCAAUGCUGAGUUUUGGUCUUACUUUAUUCUUUUCAUGUUGCAGCAUCUGCGUCAUCAAUGGUUUGUUGUUUAACAACACAUCAGAACAUUACUGAAAGGUUUGCACUGCAAAUCACUCCAGAUGCCUGGCUUGUAUCAAUAUGGACAAUGAUUUAUGCGUGGAAUGGGCUCUGGCUUAUCUACGUUUUCAUCAGUUCAGACGGUGCCUGGUUCAAACCCUGGGCUUAGAAAUCCUCAUUCCUUACUCCUGCUAUGUGAUGCUUAGCAUUUCCUAUCGGAAUUUGUACCAACGGGACCCUUGGUUAAAAGCCAACAGUUCUUCAGAUCUCUGGAAUGUUAGAUAUCUGGUUUUUGCUUUAAAACUUUGUCCUUGGUGUUUGCUACACUUUCAGUCUACCCUGUGGUGAUCCUAGGUCUAGCAGGAAUGUUUACUAGAAAUUACAGAUUUGACAGUAUAACUACAAACACGAUUUAUUGUGGUGUCCUUCUGGCCAUUGGUGCUGUGUUCUGUGUUCGGUUAAUUGCAAUUUGCUUCUAUGAUGAGAAUAAACCCAGCUCCUCUCCUUUGGAUGAAGACUUUGUAUUAACAGCUAGUUUGCCUGCAUUGAAACUAGAUAUGAACAGAAUUUGGAAUUAAACAACCAGUGCUCAACGGCCUAGUUUUCAUAUCUCCCAACAUAGAACCAGUUAAAAGGUAAAACGUAAGCCAAAAUAUAAUUGUACAAAGUCUGAAUACAUGCACAUUUAAAAUUUCAGAAACAAAAUAAAUAUGACCCUAUAUACUUGUGCAGUAUAGCCUAAUUUUACUCAAUAGUUUAAAGUUCUGGCUCAAUCACAACUUAAUACGUUAAAGAUCUGCUUAAGAUGUUAAGCAAUAAAACAAGGUAAUACUUAGUCUUGAUUUAACAAUAGGCAGUUGUGACCUAUCAUAGACCCCGUUUUGAAGCAUUCUGCCAAAAAGAAAGUUAUGCGAUACUGUCAAGGGAGCUGGUCUCUCACAAGUCAUAAAAAAAGAGGAAAAUUAGACUUUGUUUUUUAAAUUGCAGAGAUUUUAAAUUGCCAUGUAUAAAACUCACUAUCAGUCUUGGUUGUAAUCAAGAAAGUUUUUCAAUAGCUGUUUUUUUUUUUUUUUUUUUUUUUUCUUGUGAAAAUUAAUUGUUUUAAUUACAAAUCGUGAAAUAAAGUAUACAACCCAGGAAUUUCAUUCAAGGGCUCAAGUUCUUUAGUAAUUUUGAUUUGUGAAAUCCUGCUGCUGUUCUGCCUUACUUGUACUGUCCUUCUGACUUAAAGAUGUAAUAAACAAAGCCCUAAUAAGUUUUUUUUAUUUUUUAUUAGCAGAACGACAUUCUCACAAGUGCCUUAUUAAGAAUGUUGCUGGUAUUCAUUUGCUUUGUUUUCUUGACUUUAUAUUCACUUUGCACAGAAUAAGACACAAUUAAAACAGUUAAUUUCUGCAUAACAGAAUACAUAUAGGAAUGGAAGCCAUCCCCUAAAGAAGUGCAACAGAGGCCAUUCAAAGCUAGGCGAAGGAAGCAAGGAACCCCAAAAAGGAGAUGAUAUUGCAAAGGAUGUGGUUGUUCUGUUUUGAGAACACCAUCACGUUUCUAAUUAAAAUGUGACUCAAAGGUGAACAGUAAUUGCACUAUUCUAUAAUGUAAUAGUUUCUUUGUAAGAAACCAGACUGAUUUGGACAGCACACAUAUUCCUCCCUCACACACUCUUCUUGUAAUAACAUCAAAUAUUUCUCAUUAUAAAAUAACAAUUCAUUUAUUUCUUUUUGACUGGUAUAGACCAGAUUAUAUUACAGGGUGUUACAGUUUAGAAGGUGCUCAGGUAAGAUGCAUUAAAACAGGAAAAAAGAAAACAUUUCUACAGCCCCACAUUAUGGAAUGGAAUUCGAGGGGGGGAAGAACCAGAGACUAAGAAUACAGUAAUGUGUAGACUAGUUAUGUCAUUAUAUAUAAAUCAUUUUAACAGCUUUUAUGGCAAGUGAAAUAAAAAACCAAACAAAAAAACACAUUAAUCAGUACUUCAGAAGGCAGAUUAUAUUUUCCAUCCAUAUAUUUCAAAAGAUGUAAAUACAUAUUUAAAUCUUACAGAAAGAAAAAAAAAAACAUAUAUAUAUUAUUUAAGGAUUUAAUUGAUUCACAAUCCGAUGUUCAAACAGUUGAAUUUCUACAGAGAUCCACAGUUGCUCAGUCUUACUGAUAAGCAAAUUCCCAAACAGUGGUUAUUCUUCAGUCAUGUAUAAGCGAUA